UGCUGUCUUAACCUCAUCCCUUGAUCAAACAUUACAUCAACACAUAGCAGAAGUUGGGGAAAUAAUGUUAUCAGGAAUCUAAUAUCAAAACUCCCAAUACUUUUCCCAAACACACAUAAAAUGAUAUAAAAGAAAGCCAACAGAUGUAGUGUCACAUGGAUUUGCUUAAUGGCAAUGCUUAGCCUUUCAAAAAAAGGUUUACAUCUACAUUUACGACUAAAACCUGACAUUUGUAUUGAAUAAUUCAUAAUUUGUUGUUUUCUGUGCUUUGCUGCUUUCCUUAUACGCAUGAACCGAGUGAUGUUAUCUCUGCUCUAAGGGAAGAAGAUCAAUCUGUACAUAUGCAGAUGUUUUUGUUGUUGUUCUGUAGGGUGUAAUACAUAUUUAACUAAACUAAUGCUAAAAUUUCCUCUUUGCUUAUGACAGAAAUGCUCUGUACAGAUUUAAUUUGCAACAUGACUGUGCUUCCUACUAACUCUCCCAAGCAUUUGGGCAACAAUCACAUGUAGUUUGGACACGUGUUUCCAUGCCUACCUGUGCCUCACUGUAAGACAAACUCAUCCUCCUUCACUCUUAGCACAGGUGCAAAUGAGAUCUCUGCCAGGGCUCUUCUACUCUUCCACCUUUUACAGCUUCUCACCUCCCACUCUGCUCUGACCUCAGCAGAGAAGGCAUUUGAAGCAUUUGAAGAUACCCUUGGAUUCAGGAUCUAUAUAGAACCUCAGCAAAGUGAGUGUCUAAGUAGGAGCCAAGGUGCUGUUUUUGUUACUUUACUGUCCUGCUGUUUCUAGCAUCAGCCUUGCAGAUAUUACAGUCGCAAAUACCAUACUUGUACAUUUAUCUCCUGAAGUUUGUACUUUUUAAAAGCUAAUUUUAAUUCUAAGACAUUAUUGUCUGUGUCAACUAUUCUAUCAUAGACAACCUAUCAACUGUAAAGGUUGAGGGAACACUGCCUUUUUUCUUGAUGCUUCAUCUGCAACUGAGAGAAGCAAAGGGGUGCUUUGGCUGUCCUGCUGCUGCUCUCCCAGGCCAGUUGUCUUCUUUCCUAUUUCUCAAGGAAAAAAAAUCUUAUUUAACUCACACCAAUGGAUAAAGUGGAGCAGCAUCAUUUUUUCUGCUACUGUAGCACAUGCUGUAGCAUAUAAAACUUUCCUGCUUCUCUCUAGAUGGGAGUCCCUAGGAGUAAGUUCCUUCCUAAGGCUUGCAGAGCAGCCUGGGGCAGUUCCUGACUGAUUUGGACACCUGGACACGGAUCCCCAUUCUGCAUCCUGCCCUGAAGACUUCACCGGAUGAACCAAUAGCCACAAACUCAAAGCACAGGUUUCCUGCUUGAAUCCCGCUCACACACCUCAUGCUUGUCACCUGUACUGUAGUUCUGCUCUGUUCUGCAGUAACUGCCUUCCUCUGGGCUGGAACACAAAAGACGACCUUGUGAAAACAGUCACCAUUUCUGGGGGUAAAUGUUCACUUCUUUUCCCUCAGAAGCAGAGAGGAACUUCCAGAACUGAUCACAGCUCACGUUCGAGCCUGCAGCAGAGGUUGGUGGGACUUUUCCAGCACAUGGGCAGCACGUGGCAGCAGCACUGACAGCACCGCACCGUGUGGCAGCAAACAGCUCCAGCUCUGACCUCUGCUUCUGAGCCUAGAGCAGGUACAUGAUGGCUCUGCUUUCCCCACCAGCCCCAGCCCCCAGAGCACACUGCUGCCAGCUGCCACAUCGCGGCUGCCACUCCGUUGGCUUUUUGGAAGCCUUGAGCGUUCUUCCAGAGCUUUCUGGACGUCGGUUUAAACUGAGCUUGCAGUGAAUUUGGAGCUAAGUUACCUGUUUACGUGUUUUGGGGUUUUGUAAAUCAGCACUGAAUCGAAGGCACUCCAUUACUGGGUUCUCAGGGCAUCCUGUGACUGAGGGCUUGCUGCUGGUGCUGCCACAGACCACAGUGAGGGGCCUGGACGCCAUGUCCUGGUGUGGCUCCGUGCCCGGGUUCCACCAGCUAAAGCCCGGCUGC